rnacentral:tRNA from 1 species
AUCUAGCAGGCUCAAUUGGUAGAGUAUGAGACUUGAUCUUGGGGUCGUGAGUUCAAGUCCCACGUUGGGCA